rnacentral:rRNA from 1 species
AUUGAACGCUGGCGGCGUGCUUAACACAUGCAAGUCGAACGAGAACGGAUUAUAGCUUGCUAUAAUUGUCAGCUAAGUGGCGCACGGGUGAGUAAUGUAUAGGUAAUAUGCCUCUUACUAAGGGAUAACAAAUGGAAACGUUUGCUAAUACCUUAUACUCCUUAUUAACAUAAGUUAAUAAGGGAAAGAUUUAUUGGUAAGAGAUUAGCCUGUAUUGUAUCAGUUAGUUGGUGGGGUAAUGGCUUACCAAGACUAUGACACAUAACUGGUUUGAGAGGAUGAUCAGUCACACUGGAACUGAGACACGGUCCAGACUCCUACGGGAGGCAGCAGUGGGGAAUAUUGCACAAUGGACGAAAGUCUGAUGCAGCAACGCCGCGUGGAGGAUGACACAUUUCGGUGCGUAAACUCCUUUUAUAUGAAAAGAUAAUGACGGUAUUAUAUGAAUAAGCACCGGCUAACUCUGUGCCAGCAGCCGCCGUAACAC